rnacentral:rRNA from 1 species
AGUGAACGCUGGCGGCGGGCCUAAUACAUGCAAGUCGAACGGAGUGGCGCACGGGUGAGUAAUGAAUAGCUAAUCUGACCUACACUAGAGGACAACAGGUGGAAACGACUGCUAAUACUCUAUAGUUUAGGAUGAGGCUAUAUUGUAUCAGCUAGUUGGUGAGGUAAUGGCGCACCAAGGCUAUGACGCAUAACUGGUCUGAGAGGAUGAUCAGUCACCCUGGAACUGAGACACGGUCCGGACUCCUACGGGAGGCAGCAGUACGGUAUAUUGCUCAAUGGGGGAAACCCUGAAGGACCUACGCCGCGUGGAGGAUGACACUUUUCGGAGCGUAAACUCCUUUUGUUAUGGAAGCGGUACCUAACGAAUAAGCACCGGCUAACUCCGUGCCAGCAGCCGCGGUAAUUC